AUACGUAGGUGGCGAGCGUUGUCCGGAAUUACUGGGCGUAAAGGGUGCGUAGGCGGAUAUUUAAGUCAGAUGUGAAAUUCCCGGGCUCAACCUGGGAAGUGCAUUUGAAACUGGGUAUCUAGAGUGCAGGAGAGGUAAGUGGAAUUCCUAGUGUAGCGGUGAAAUGCAUAGAUAUUAGGAGGAACACCAGUGGCGAAGGCGACUUACUGGACUGUAACUGACGCUGAAGCACG
rnacentral:rRNA from 1 species